UACGUAGGCAGCAAGCGUUGUUCGGAGUUACUGGGCGUAAAGGGUGCGUAGGCGGUUCUCUAAGUCUGGUGUGAAAUCUCCCGGCUCAACUGGGAGGGUGCGCCGGAAACUGGGGGGCUAGAGUAUGGGAGAGGAGAGUGGAAUUCCUGGUGUAGCGGUGAAAUGCGUAGAUAUCAGGAGGAACACCGGCGGUGUAGACGGCUCUCUGGACCAUUACUGACGCUGAGGCACGAAAGCGUGGGUAGCAAACAGG
rnacentral:rRNA from 1 species